UACGGAGGGGGCAAGCGUUGUUCGGAAUUACUGGGCGUAAAGGGCGCGUAGGCGGCUUGGCAAGUUGGGCGUGAAAGCCCUGGGCUUAACCCAGGAAUUGCGCUUGAGACUGCCGGGCUUGAGUGCGGGAGAGGUGAGCGGAAUUCCCAGUGUAGAGGUGAAAUUCGUAGAUAUUGGGAAGAACACCAGUGGCGAAGGCGGCUCACUGGCUCGCAACUGACGCUGAGGCGCGAAAGCGUGGGGAGCAAACAGG
rnacentral:rRNA from 1 species